rnacentral:rRNA from 1 species
UACGUAGGAGGCGAGCGUUGUCCGGAGUUACUGGGCGUAAAGGGUGCGCAGGCGGCGGUUCGCGUGGCGAGAUGAAAUCUCCUGGCUUACCUGGGAGGAUGGUCGCCAGACGGGAUCGCUUGAGGGUCGGAGAGGGGCGUGGAAUUCCGGGUGGAGCGGUGAAAUGCGUAGAGAUCGGGAGGAACACCCGUGGCGAAGGCGGCCAUCUGGACCAGCACUGACGCUGAGGCACGAAAGCGUGGGGAGCAAACAGG